CAAGGAGACAAAGGAGGGAAUAGCAUUCCUGAGAAAGAAUAGCAGAUUUAAAAGACCAGACAGGGAGAAGAUGCUCCCAAUCUGGGGACCCCAUGUCUUUCUGUGUGACUAAACCUCAGGAUAAUGGAUGAGGAAAGAAUGGGUAAGAGAUGAAGUUGGACAAGUAAGCAGGAAAAAAAAACAGGAUCAAAGCGGAUGUGGCAGAGGAUUCAGCAACUGCCACCCUUAAGCAAAAACCAGUAAUGAAGAAAUGAGUUUUGGCAGCCCAGCCAAUGGGAUAUUAAAGAAAUUAAUCCAGAAGGGAUGUAAUGACCUGAAAAAAAAAUGAUGAGCAAAGACCAGAAGGAUUAGAAGAAAGAAAAAGGAAGCAGACAGGUUCUGUUGACUUCCAGUUUCUGGCUGCUCCCUGUGGCAUCUUUAUCCAUGGUUUUCUCUAUAAGUAAUAGGAUUAAGAACGAUUCUGAUUCAGUUGGGCCACACCUUAACUGAAGUAACAUCUUGAAGAGAUCUUAUUUAUAGUGAGUCCACACCCACAAGCAAGACCAAGAAUAUGUCCAAACUGGGGUACACAAUUCAAUCCACCAGAAAUACCUUUAUGUACCUUUUCUCACUUUUUUGUUAUUUGUAUUGGUGUGCAAAUUUUGUUUUUGGAUUUUUUGUCUGUUAGUUAUUUUUUUUAAUUAGAGAAGUUGUGGGCUUACAGAAAGAUCAUGCAGAAAAUACGGUGUGUGAAUUUUUGUUCAUACCAAAUGUCAAAUAAAUCAUUUGUUUUA